rnacentral:rRNA from 1 species
CUAGCUGUAAACGAUGGAUACUAGGCGUUGAGAGUAUCGACCCUCUCAGUGUCGUAGCUAACGCGUUAAGUAUCCCGCCUGGGGAGUACGCGCGCAAGCGUGAAAUUCAAAGGAAUUGACGGGGGCCCGCACAAGCGGUGGAGUAUGUGGUUUAAUUCGAUGCAACGCGAAGAACCUUACCAGGGCUUGACAUGUCCGGAACCCUGCCCAAAGGCGGGGGUGCCUACGGGAACCGGAACACAGGUGGUGC